rfam:Glycine soja cultivar W05 scaffold3489_6, whole genome shotgun sequence.
AUACAAAGAAACAUUAAUUAUUAUGUGUUACGUUUUGAUUGAACAUGAAAAUGUGGGCCUAAGAGACAAUUCUAACAUUUCUUUAUUCAUCGUCUAAUCCAAACGUAACAUGUGAUCCUCAAUAUUU